GGGCCUUUAGCUCAGUUGGUUAGAGCAUGCGACUCAUAAUCGCCAGGUCCCCGGUUCGAGUCCGGGAAGGCCCACCA
rnacentral:tRNA from 4 species